rnacentral:rRNA from 1 species
GACGAACGCUGGCGGCGUGCUUAACACAUGCAAGUCGUACGGUAAGGCCCUUUCGGGGGUACACGAGUGGCGAACGGGGGAGUAACACGUGAGUAACCUGCCCACAACUUUGGGAUAACGCUAGGAAACUGGUGCUAAUACUGGAGAUGUGCUCCUGCUGCAUGGUGGGGGUUGGAAAGCUCCGGCGGUUGUGGAUGGACUCGCGGCCUAUCAGCUUGUUGGUGGGGUAGUGGCCUACCAAGGCGGCGACGGGUAGCCGGCCUGAGAGGGUGAACGGCCACAUUGGGACUGAGAUACGGCCCAGACUCCUACGGGAGGCAGCAGUGGGGAAUAUUGCACAAUGGGCGCAAGCCUGAUGCAGCAACGCCGCGUGCGGGAUGACGGCCUUCGGGUUGUAAACCGCUUUCAGCAGGGACGAAGCUUUUUGUGACGGUACCUGCAGAAGAAGCACCGGCUAACUACGUG